rnacentral:rRNA from 1 species
AUUGAACGCUGGCGGCAUGCUUUACACAUGCAAGUCGAACGGCAGCGCGGGCUUCGGCCUGGCGGCGAGUGGCGAACGGGUGAGUAAUGCAUCGGAACGUGCCCAGUAGUGGGGGAUAGCCCGGCGAAAGCCGGAUUAAUACCGCAUACGACCUGAGGGUGAAAGCGGGGGGCCGAAAGGCCUCGCGCUAUUGGAGCGGCCGAUGUCGGAUUAGCUAGUUGGUGGGGUAAAGGCUUACCAAGGCGACGAUCCGUAGCUGGUCUGAGAGGACGACCAGCCACACUGGGACUGAGACACGGCCCAGACUCCUACGGGAGGCAGCAGUGGGGAAUUUUGGACAAUGGGGGCAACCCUGAUCCAGCCAUGCCGCGUGCGGGAAGAAGGCCUUCGGGCUGUAAACCGCUUUUGUUCGGGAAGAAAUCCUCUGGGCUAAUACCCCGGGGGGAUGACGGUACCGGAAGAAUAAGCACCGGCUAACUACGUG